UAACUAAACUGAUAAAGCAGUAGAAGAGGUGAUGUAAUAUAUAU
rnacentral:guide_RNA from 1 species